CAGAGUUUGAUCCUGCUCAGGAUGAACGCUGGCGGCGUGCUUAACACAUGCAAGUCGAACGGGAAACAUUUCAUUGAAGCUUCGGCAGAUUUGGUCUGUUUCUAGUGGCGGACGGGUGAGUAACGCGUGGGUAACCUGCCUUAUACUGGGAGAUAACAGCCAGAAAUGGCUGCUAAUACCGCAUAAGCGCACAGGACCGCAUGGUCUGGUGUGAAAAACUCCGGUUGUAUAAGAUGGACCCGCGUUGG
rnacentral:rRNA from 1 species